UGGACAGAAAGACCCUAUGAAGCUUUACUGUAACCUGAAAUUGAAAUUGGACUUUAGUCGCGCAGCAUAGGUGGGAAGCUUUGAUGAUACUCUUGCGGGAGUAUCGGAGCUAUCAGUGAGAUACCACUCUUCUAAUGUUAGAUUUCUAACUUUGAAUCAUUAUCUGGUCAAAGAACAGUUUCAGGCGGGCAGUUUGACUGGGGCGGUCGCCUCCCAAAUGGUAACGGAGGCGUACAAAGGUUUCCUCUGAACGGGUAGAAAUCGUAUCUAGAGUGUAAAGGCAUAAGGAAGCUUGACUGUGAGACCUACAAGUCGAACAGGGACGAAAGUCGGUCUUAGUGAUCUGACGGUACUGAGUGGAAAGGCCGUCACUCAACGGAUAAAAGUUACUCUAGGGAUAACAGGCU
rnacentral:rRNA from 1 species